GAUGAACGCUAGCGGGAGGCUUAACACAUGCAAGUCGAGGGGCAUCACGAGGUAGCAAUACUUUGGUGGCGACCGGCGCACGGGUGAGUAACACGUAUGCAACCCUUCCCUGUACAGGGGGAUAACCCGGAGAAAUUCGGACUAAUACCCCAUGAUGAUAUUAUGGGGCAUCCUUUAAUAUUUAAAGCUCUGGCGGUACAGGAUGGGCAUGCGCGACAUUAGUUAGUUGGUGAGGUAACGGCUCACCUAGGCAAUGAUAGGUAGGCGGCCUUAACGGGUGGUCGCCCACACUGGGAUUGAGAUACGGCCCAGACUCCUACGGGAGGCAGCAGUCGAGAAUAGUCUACAAUGGUCGGAAGACUGAUAGUGCGACGCCGCGUGAACGAUGAAUCCCUUCGGGGUGUAAAGUUCUUUUAUAUGUGAGCAGUGCUUCUAUAUUAACAGUAUGGGGAAGAGAUAUUAGCAUAUGAAUAAGCAAACGGCUAACUCCGUG
rnacentral:rRNA from 1 species